rnacentral:rRNA from 1 species
GAGCGAGUAGAGUGGCGCUCGGGUGAGUAACACGUAGGUAAUCUACCUUUGGGUGGGGAAUAACAGCCGGAAACGGCUGCUAAUACCGCAUAAUGCAGCGGCUCGACAUCGAGACAGUUGUUAAAGCGGGGGAUUCCGAAAGGAACCUCGCGCCUAAAGAGGAGCCUGCGGCAGAUUAGCUAGUUGGUAAGGUAAUGGCUUACCAAGGCUUCGAUCUGUAGCCGGCCUGAGAGGGCGGUCGGCCACACUGACACUUAAAUACGGGACAGACUCCUACGGGAGGCAGCAGUCGGGAAUUUUGGGCAAUGGGCGAAAGCCUGACCCAGCAACGCCGCGUGAAGGAUGAAAUCCCUCGGGAUGUAAACUUCGUAAGAACAGGAAGAAUAAGUGGGGGACAAUACCCCCCAUGAUGACGGUACUGUUUGUAAGCUCCGGCUAACUCCGUGCCACAGC